UUUUUAUGACGCUGGCGGCAUGCCUUACACAUGCAAGUCGAACGGCAGCACGGACUUCGGUCUGGUGGCGAGUGGCGAACGGGUGAGUAAUAUAUCGGAACAUACCCUAGAGUGGGGGAUAACGUAGCGAAAGUUACGCUAAUACCGCAUACGAACUAAGGUUGAAAGUGGGGGAUCGCAAGACCUCAUGCUCAUGGAGUGGCCGAUAUCUGAUUAGCUAGUUGGUGAGGUAAAGGCUCACCAAGGCGACGAUCAGUAGCUGGUUUGAGAGAACGACCAGCCACACUGGAACUGAGACACGGUCCAGACUCCUACGGGAGGCAGCAGUGGGGAAUUUUGGACAAUGGGCGCAAGCCUGAUCCAGCAAUGCCGCGUGAGUGAAGAAGCCUUCGGGUUGUAAAGCUCUUUUGUCAGGGAAGAAACGGUGAGUUCUAAUACAACUUACUAAUGACGGUCCUGAAGAAUAACACCGGCUAACUACGUGCCAGC
rnacentral:rRNA from 1 species